rnacentral:rRNA from 1 species
AUUGAACGCUGGCGGCAGGCCUAACACAUGCAAGUCGAACGGUAACAGGAAGCAGCUUGCUGCUUCGCUGACGAGUGGCGGACGGGUGAGUAAUGUCUGGGAAGCUGCCUGAUGGAGGGGGAUAACUACUGGAAACGGUAGCUAAUACCGCAUAAUGUCGCAAGACCAAAGAGGGGGACCUUCGGGCCUCUUGCCCUCGGAUGUGCCCAGAUGGGAUUAGCUUGUUGGUGGGGUAACGGCUCACCAAGGCGACGAUCCCUAGCUGGUCUGAGAGGAUGACCAGCCACACUGGGACUGAGACACGGUCCAGACUCCUACGGGAGGCAGCAGUGGGGAAUAUUGCACAAUGGGCGCAAGCCUGAUGCAGCCAUGCCGCGUGUAUGAAGAAGGCCUUCGGGUUGUAAAGUACUUUCAGCGGGGAGGAAGGGAGUAAAGUUAAUACCUUUGCUCAUUGACGUUACCCGCAGAAGAAGCACCGGCUAACUCCGUG